UAGAGGGAACGGCCCAUUAUCCACCGAGUUUCAAAGCUGGAAACAACAGAUUUUUCAUGAAUAGGAAUCUAUUUUUGUUACAUUUGGAAGCAAAAGUGAAGUUCUUUACCCUACAAUGUUGCUUGUUUCUAUUAUGUCUUUUUAUCCCCUCGUAGUUGGUCGGAUUGUUUAUGUGCGUUAAGUUGAGAAACAACCUCUCUACCUCCACAAGAUAGUGGUAAGGUAUGCAUACAUUCUACCCU
rnacentral:lncRNA from 1 species